CUGUUUUCUGAUGCUAGGUGAGAAGGGUUCAGCAGGUGCUGAAAAUGAGACUUUUGCAGUGCCUGGAGGAGAGAGACGGGUACCCCACAGCUCUUUGCUGCAACCACCAGGAAUUGAUAUCCAAUUUUAGAAGACUGUUUCUGCUUGCAAACAUUCCUCAAGCCAUUGCUGUAGAUUUUGCAGCCCACUCCUAGCUGUGGAGAACCCUGAAUGAGCUAAUUGCGAGCCAUCAGCAUUCAUCUUUCUCCUUCUGCAGACUGUAAGUAUCAGAAAACCUCACUGAUUGUUCUAGAUUUUAACCUCGUGAAAGGAAAUGACUUGCCUAUUGAUUUCCCAAACUGCAGUUUUGGUUAUGAAUAGAACCACGUUGCAUUUAAUACAGUUAUUAUUCUAAAAGGGCUCUUCUUUGCCCCCAGUGAAGUGCGGGAAACAUUUUCCCCUUUCUUAAAAUAUGUCUUGCUUACUUCCAGGUUUUGAUCACUAUCGUUUCAACUUUUUAUUGAAAUUGUGAGUCUGACACAACUGUAGUGGCAGAUAGAGUGGGUAGAUAAACACACCUUCUGAAUGGCCUUAAUAUCAAAAGUGGGUAAGAGGAACGGCAAGGUAUUUCAUCUAUGAAAGUUUCUCAUCCAUAAGAUUUGCCACUAACUGCUGAUAUUCCUUUCAGCCUCCAAGGGUCAAAAGGUGAAAAUGAUUGAGGUACCUUUUGCUAUGAAUAUUUCACGAGCUGCAUAUCCCUUUUUCACUGAGAUCUGUGUGCUGACUGAGGGCUUCUUCAGGAUGAGUCCUUAGUUGACUGAUGAAUACAAAACACUUCUCGAACAAAAGGCAUUCAAGAUUAGCGGAAGACAAGACAGCCUACUUUAGUUUCUGUGAGCAGUACCUGGAGUAUCAAUGGAGAUAAAACACUGAGUGACAGGUAACUGAAAUACAGAAUAACACCAUAUAUUGUUCUCCUAUUGAUUGGGGAAAUAAUGAGAAAGUUAGCAAGUCACGGUAAUGUCACAGACGGCAAUGAACUUCGGAAAACUCAAGGACCAGAAAGUAACAUGAAACAAGGAGCAAAAUGAAGAUAAUAUUUGGUUACAGUACAGUUCUCAAAUGGUAGUGAAACACAUCCCUUCGCCUUUGAGUAUGCAUGGUUUUUAAAAUGAAGACAAAGGGAAGAAAUUGCCGGCUGAAACAAUAUAGCUA
rnacentral:lncRNA from 1 species